UACGUAGGGUGCAAGCGUUGUCCGGAAUUAUUGGGCGUAAAGAGCUCGUAGGCGGUCUGUUGCGUCGGCUGUGAAAACCCGGGGCUCAACCCAGGGCCUGCAGCCGAUACGGGCAGACUAGAGUUCGGCAGGGGAGACUGGAAUUCCUGGUGUAGCGGUGAAAUGCGCAGAUAUCAGGAGGAACACCGGUGGCGAAGGCGGGUCUCUGGGCCGAUACUGACGCUGAGGAGCGAAAGCGUGGGGAGCGAACAGG
rnacentral:rRNA from 1 species